rnacentral:rRNA from 1 species
CUUGAGGAGUGGCUUCCGGAGCUAACGCGUUAAGUCGACCGCCUGGGGAGUACGGCCGCAAGGUUAAAACUCAAAUGAAUUGACGGGGGCCCGCACAAGCGGUGGAGCAUGUGGUUUAAUUCGAUGCAACGCGAAGAACCUUACCUACUCUUGACAUCCACUGAAUUCGGCAGAGAUGCCUUGGUGCCUUCGGGAACCGUGAGACAGGUGCUGCAUGGCUGUCGUCAGCUCGUGUUGUGAAAUGUUGGGUUAAGUCCCGCAACGAGCGCAACCCUUAUCCUUUGUUGCCAGCGAGUCAUGGCGGGAACUCAAAGGAGACUGCCGGUGAUAAACCGGAGGAAGGUGGGGAUGACGUCAAGUCAUCAUGGCCCUUACGAGUAGGGCUACACACGUGCUACAAUGGCGCAUACAAAGAGAAGCGACCUCGCGAGAGCGAGCGGACCUCACAAAGUGCGUCGUAGUCCGGAUCGGAGUCUGCAACUCGACUCCGUGAAGUCGGAAUCGCUAGUAAUCGUGGAUCAGAAUGCCACGGUGAAUACGUUCCCGGGCCUUGUACACACCGCCCGUCACACCAUGGGAGUGGGUUGCAAAAGAAGUAGGUAGCUUAACCUUCGGGAGGGCGCUUACCACUUUGUGAUUCAUGACUGGGGUGAAGUC